rnacentral:rRNA from 1 species
AGCUACUAAGAGCGAAUGGUGGAUGCCUUGACUGGUAAAGGCGAUGAAGGACGUACUAGACUGCGAUAAGCUACGGGGAGCUGUCAAGAAGCUUUGAUCCGUAGAUUUCCGAAUGGGGCAACCCAAUGUAUAGAGAUAUACAUUACCUAUAUAGGAGCGAACGAGGGGAAUUGAAACAUCUUAGUACCCUCAGGAAAAGAAAUCAAUAGAGAUUGCGUCAGUAGCGGCGAGCGAAAGCGUAAGAGGGCAAACCCAGUGCUUGCACUGGGGGUUGUAGGACUGCAAUGUGCAAGAGGUGAGUUUAGCAGAACAUUCUGGAAAGUAUAGCCAUAGAGGGUGAUAGUCCCGUAUGCGAAAAACAAACCUUAGCUAGCAGUAUCCUGAGUAGGGCGGGACACGAGAAAUCCUGUCUGAAGCUGGGUCGACCACGAUCCAACCCUAAAUACUAAUACCAGAUCGAUAGUGCACAAGUACCGUGAGGGAAAGGUGAAAAGAACUGAGGUGAUCAGAGUGAAAUAGAACCUGAAACCAUUUGCUUACAAUCAUUCAGAGCACUAUGUAGCAAUACAGUGUGAUGGACUGCCUUUUGCAUAAUGAGCCUGCGAGUUGUGGUGUCUGGCAAGGUUAAGCAAACGCGAAGCCGUAGCGAAAGCGAGUCUGAAUAGGGCGCUUAGUCAGAUGCUGCAGACCCGAAACGAAGUGAUCUAUCCAUGAGCAAGUUGAAGCUAGUGUAAGAACUAGUGGAGGACUGAACCCAUAGGCGUUGAAAAGCCCCGGGAUGACUUGUGGAUAGGGGUGAAAGGCCAAUCAAACUUCGUGAUAGCUGGUUCUCUCCGAAAUAUAUUUAGGUAUAGCGUUGUGUCGUAAUAUAAGGGGGUAGAGCACUGAAUGGGCUAGGGCAUACACCAAUGUACCAAACCCUAUCAAACUCCGAAUACCUUAUAUGUAAUCACAGCAGUCAGGCGGCGAGUGAUAAAAUCCGUCGUCAAGAGGGAAACAACCCAGACUACCAGCUAAGGUCCCUAAAUCUUACUUAAGUGGAAAACGAUGUGAAGUUACUUAAACAACCAGGAGGUUGGCUUAGAAGCAGCCAUCCUUUAAAGAAAGCGUAAUAGCUCACUGGUCUAGUGAUUUUGCGCGGAAAAUAUAACGGGGCUAAAGUAAGUACCGAAGCUGUAGACUUGCGCACAACUUAGAUUAUUUAAGUUUAGAAUAUGAGAAACUAAGUUAUAUGUUUAGUUAUAUUUUUACUGAUUUUUAUAGAGUAAAGAUAGAAAUAAAACUUAGUAAAAUCAGUAAAAAUAUUCUUAGACUAAAGUUAAGUAGUUUAAGUUGUGUGCAAGUGGUAGGAGAGCGUUCUAUUUGCGUCGAAGGUAUACCGGUAAGGAGUGCUGGAGCGAAUAGAAGUGAGCAUGCAGGCAUGAGUAGCGAUAAUUAAUGUGAGAAUCAUUAACGCCGUAAACCCAAGGUUUCCUACGCGAUGCUCGUCAUCGUAGGGUUAGUCGGGUCCUAAGUCGAGUCCGAAAGGGGUAGACGAUGGCAAAUUGGUUAAUAUUCCAAUACCAACAUUAGUGUGCGAUGGAAGGACGCUUAGGGCUAAGGGGGCUAGCGGAUGGAAGUGCUAGUCUAAGGUCGUAGGAGGUUAUACAGGCAAAUCCGUAUAACAAUACUCCGAGAACUGAAAGGCUUUUUGAAGUCUUCGGAUGGAUAGAAGAACCCCUGAUGCCAUCGAGCCAAGAAAAGUUUCUAAGUUUAGCUAAUGUUGCCCGUACCGUAAACCGACACAGGUGGGUGGGAUGAGUAUUCUAAGGCGCGUGGAAGAACUCUCUUUAAGGAACUCUGCAAAAUAGCACCGUAUCUUCGGUAUAAGGUGUGGUUCGCUUCGUAUUAGGAUUUACUCCGAAAGCGAAGAAACUUACAACAAAGAGUCCCUCCCGACUGUUUACCAAAAACACAGCACUCUGCUAACUCGUAAGAGGAUGUAUAGGGUGUGACGCCUGCCCGGUGCUCGAAGGUUAAUUGAUGGGGUUAGCAUUAGCGAAGCUCUUGAUCGAAGCCCGAGUAAACGGCGGCCGUAACUAUAACGGUCCUAAGGUAGCGAAAUUCCUUGUCGGUUAAAUACCGACCUGCAUGAAUGGCGUAACGAGAUGGGAGCUGUCUCAAAGAGGGAUCCAGUGAAAUUGUAGUGGAGGUGAAAAUUCCUCCUACCCGCGGCAAGACGGAAAGACCCCGUGGACCUUUACUACAGCUUGACACUGCUAUUUGGAUAAGAAUGUGCAGGAUAGGUGGGAGGCUUUGAGUAUAUGACGCCCGUUGUAUAUGAGCCAUUGUUGAGAUACCACUCUUUCUUAUUUGGGUAGCUAACCAGCUUGAGUUAUCCUC